UACGAGGGAUGCAAGCGUUAUCCGGAAUUAUUGGGCGUAAAGCGUUUGUAGGCGGGCGAGUGUGUUUAAUGUUAAAUCUUAAAGCUCAACUUUGAAAUUGCGUUAAAAACUGCUUGUCUUGAGUAUGGUAGGGGUAAAGGGAAUUCCCAGUGUAGCGGUGAAAUGCGUAGAUAUUGGGAAGAACACUAAACAGCGAAGGCACUUUACUAGGCUAAUACUGACGCUGAGAAACGAAAGGUAAGGUAGCGAAACGGAUUAGAUACCCGUGUAGUCUUACCCGUAAACUAUGGACACUAAACGGUAAAUUUUUAAUUUACUGUUAAAGCUAACGCGUUAAGUGUCCCGCCUGGGGAGUAUGCUUGCAAAAGUGAAACUCAAAGGAAUUGACGGGGGCCCGCACAAGCGGUGGAGCAUGUGGUUUAAUUCGACGGUACACGAAGAACCUUACCAGGAUUUGACAUGCUAGAUAGUUGCUUGAAAGAGUAACGUGCCGUAAGGAAUCUAGACACAGGUGGUGCAUGGCUGUCGUCGGUUCGUGUUGUGAAAUGUUGGGUUAAGUCCCGCAACGAACGCAACCCUUGUCUUUAGUUAUUUUCUAAAGAGACUGCCUGUAAUAAACAGGAGGAAGGUAAGGAUGAGGUCAAGUCAUCAUGCCCCUUAUGUCCUGGGCUACACACGUGCUACAAUGGGAAAGACAAUGAGCUGCAAAUCUGUAAAUUUAAGCAAAUCUCUUAAACUUUCUCGUAGUUCGGAUUGUGGGCUGCAACUCGCCCACAUGAAGUUGGAAUCGCUAGUAAUCGCCAGUCAGCUAUAUGGCGGUGAAUCCGUUCCCGGGCCU
rnacentral:rRNA from 1 species